rnacentral:lncRNA from 1 species
UAGGGAAUGUAAACAUGUUUUAUUGUCAAAGGAUGUCAUUUCAUCAAAUUCUCCAUCUUUACAUAGCUCCCACAAAAGCUAUACAAAAAACCGCGUUCUUGGAAAGGUAUAGAUACUGAAAGAGAAAACCAUCACAUUUUAAAAAUGUAAUUCCUUGUAAAUGAUGAAUUAUCGUGUACACUGGACUAUAAAUCCGUACGGUUUUCCUCACCGCUUCUUAUAUAACUUGAUUCGCAAUACUGAAAACUUACUAACCCACUAGAAUCAGACCUUAGAACUGCAGAAAAUCACCUAAACAUGCGUCAACACUUAGGGACCCGGGUCCAGCUUUCCAGGACAAUAAUCGCGUCCGCCGGGCGGGCUCUGGCCGCCGCGCAGGCCAGCGGUCCUAGCCCGAGCCCCAGCGCGAGCGCGACCCGACCGCGGGACCGGAAGCCGCGCUCCCGGCAGCCCCCCUACGCGGGGCGGGGCGAGGGCGCGCGGCCCAGAAAGCAGGCCCGCGUUCACGGAGAACGACGGAAGCCCGAGCGCCGUCCCCGGCCUCCCUCAGCCCUGCCCCCGCGGCCCGGCCCCUUCUCAGCCCUCUGCACGCGCCUUCUCCAUGUGGACCCUGGUUCUCAGUGAAGCUGGCCUGGUUUCUGCUUUGCAUGCAGGCUCCCCUUGCACUGUUGAUACUGCAGCUCCAGGCAAAGAGCGAGCUCGGUGCAGCGAGGACGCCUCUGCCAGGUGCACCCCAAAUCUCCCGGGCCUGGUGCGAUGGGCUGGGACGCAGAAAGUACUCCGUGGAACGGAGCCCAACAGUUGUGUCAGCGGGGGACAAUUAGGAACAGCAGUAAGUGUCA